CGGACAUCUCCCCCCGAAAUCACUCCAGCGACCACCACCGCCAUCACUAAUACACCAUUGCCGUGGUCACACAAAGCUCCGACAACCAUAAGAGCCGUCGUCAAUCUGGCUACUGGUACGAGUCUAAGCUCAUUGAUGCCAUCUCCAAAGAGAUCCUCGUAAAGAUAUGGAUAUAGAACGUUGAAAAAGGGGAUCACAAAAAUUGGUUUCCAAAGUCGAAAGACAGCAUUUAGAACUUUUGUUGCUUAAUCAUAGUUGCAAUUCCAAAGAAGGAAACACAUUGUGAUAUCAUCUUCAUAGUUUUGAUGUCAGCGUCUAAAAAGGUUAAAAAUAAUGAAGCUGAGGCACUGUCAUAACCUUACAAAUAGCCCUGACUUCACAGAGAUCAGAAAUCUCGAAGAGCUAAGUUUUGAAGGUUGUAUUAAUUUGUGUGAAGUUCAUGCAUCAAUUCUACUGCUCACGCAGCUUGUUGUCUUGAAUUUGAGGAACUGCAUACGCCUUAGGAGUUUUCCAUGCAUAACCAAAUUAUGUUCUCUGGAGGUUCUGAAUCUUUGUGGUUGCAUAAGAAUGGAUAAGUUCCCUAAGAGAGCAUGAGGGGACCCGAUGGCCUCGAUCAAGAUGGUGGACUUCAACCUUUUGGCCUUAGUUUUUGCCUAGAAUAUUCCGACACCCCUCCAGUUCGGUAUUGCCUUCAUUAUCGUGUCUACAUCUGUUAAAAAGUCUGGAUCUUAGCCAUUGCAGUUUAUCAGAACUGAGUCAGGACAGCAUUGGCGGUUUAUUAUGUUUAGAACAUUUAAACUUGAGUGGUAAUGACUUGACAAGCUUGCCUGCUAGUUUGAGUCGACUUUCUCGACUUCAGAUGCUUGGACUUGUUGGUUGCAAGAAGCUUGAAGUGUUGCCAGAACUUCCACCAAACAUUACCCGUUUCGAUGCUAUUGAUUGCACUGCUUUACGACAAAUCCACAAGCAGCAAAUACUUAACAGCAACUAUAACUUGUUCUAUGAUUUCACUAGUUGUCCAAAAUUGGUUGAUAAUUAUACCAUUGAAAGCAUGGUGUGUAUGUUGGUGCCGCAGAAAAGUAAUUACAUGGGUAAGAAAUUGCAUAUUGUGCUCCAGGGAACUAGAAUUCAUCAAUGGUUUACAAAUCAAAGUACAGGAAAUCAUGUAAAGGUAGAGUUGCCUCCUGGUUGGUUGUACAAUAAGUUUAGGGGAUAUGGUGUGUUGUUUUCACGGCCAAAAAUCUGUAUCAUAGUUCAUAAUUAAGCCACUUAACAUGCAAAGUAAGAGACAUUUUUGUAGAUGUCCACUGUGACGGUGUAGGUCUAGGGACCAUUUUCCCUGUAGAAACUAUAAGAAUUGCUGUAGCAUUCCCUUCUAGUGCGGAUGUUGAAGUAAAGUGGUGUGGUGUAAGACUUGUUUGUGAAGAGGACAUACAAGAAGGCAGCAAUUUGAGUAUGUUCCAUGGCCUCCCAUCUCUAAGACAAGGCAUUUCCUUCCACUCCAAUCAUGCAGGAUCUCAGACACCAUUGAAGAUGAGCCUCCUUGUAAGAGAAACUGUCUUGUUUGAUAAAUGUGGUCUUCCAGUUGAAAAGAUCUGUACUUUUGUGAAUUGUGUUUGAGGAUCAACAGAUCAUUUGUUAACCUCGCCCAAUAUCAACUUGACUUUGCAGACUUUCUGCACUAUUUCAUAUUUUAUUUGAUUUUUCUUUUAACUCUCAA